rnacentral:rRNA from 1 species
GACGAACGCUGGCGGCGUGCCUAACACAUGCAAGUCGAGCGACGAACCAGAGCUUGCUCUUGGGCAAAGCAGCGGACGGGUGAGUAAUGCCUGGGUAACUUCCUCCGAUAACCGGGACAACCCCAGGAAACGCGGGUUAUUACCGGAUGUGCCCACUGGACUUCGGUUCAGUGCGUAAAGCAUCCUUCUGCCUCCUUAUCGGGGGUGGCACAGGUCCCAUUAGUUUGUUGGUGCGGUAACGGCCCACCAAGCCCGCGAUGGGUAGCUGGUCUGAGAGGAUGAUCAGCCACACUGGAACUGAGACACGGUCCAGACUCCUACGGGAGGCAGCAGUGGGGAAUCUUGCGCAAUGCGCGAAAGCGUGACGCAGCAACGCCGCGUGUGUGAAGAAGGCCUUCGGAUUGUAAACCCCUUUCAGGUGGGAGGAAGGUUAGGCAGUGAAUAGCCGGCCGGACUGACGGUACCUCCACAAGAAGCCCCGGCUAACUACGUG